rnacentral:lncRNA from 1 species
CAAAAUGCAAAAUUCUCUAAUUAAUCCCCAAAUAAAACCUCAAACCCCUAAAUUUUAAACCCAUCGCUAAACUCCCAACUCCUAAACCCCCGAUUUCACUCAACCGUGAUUUCAACCGAUGGCAUCGACGAUUCCAACGGCAGCGGCGAUUUCCAACUGCACCGGCGACCUACAGGGCUUCCUCUCCUCCUGCGAUUUCCAACGGCACUGGCAAUUCUCGGAUUUCCCACCCAAUCUUGAUUCCGACUUCCGGAGCGGCGACUUCCUGUUUCGGCGAGACAUCCGGCCGGUGACCUCAAUCCUUCAACAUGUAAUUUAUUUGCAAAUAGUUAGUACUCAUUUCCUGUAAUUAGAUAAUAAAAAAAUAAAUCCAGGCUCAGGUGCGACCAGAUUAGACUCUGAUCAUUGAUUUUACGCUUCUGAGCGUACCAGAACCAUCACCUAAAAAAAUAUUUGUAAUUCAGAUUAUUUUGAUUAGAUAUCCUACUAAUUACUAAUAGUGAUCAAACUUUGAACUUUUUGUAACAGCGCUGACCGGUCGGAAGCGGUAGUCGGCGCCGUCAAACGUCGAGUUGGAACGCAAGGAAUAAUUCCCCGAAGGGCCGAAGGUGGAAGAUAGAAAAUCCCGGAGGAUCCUGAAGUGGAUGAGAGAGU